rnacentral:rRNA from 1 species
CUGGGGUCCCCGGCCGUGUGCACCAGCUCGUGUGGCCGUAGCACCACCAGAUCACACACGCGGCUGCAACUGGCAGAUGUGCCCCACGGCCGGCAGAUGGAGGCAGCAAGCAGAUUGGAUCUCCCACUCUCUCUCUCAACCCUGCCGUGUGAGCCCCACGGAAAACCGAAAGGCAACGAGGUUCACGCGUCCUGUACGUGCUCCCGUGCACUGCGUCGCGAGCCGAUGGGAGGCGAGGCGAGGCGACGUCGCUUCCUCCGCGGGCGCGCGCAGCGGCUCAACG